rnacentral:rRNA from 1 species
CACGCCGUAAACUAUGGAUGCUAGCUGUUACUCACAUCGACCUGAGUAGUAGCGAAGUUAACGCGUUAAGCAUCCCGCCUGGGGAGUACGGUCGCAAGAUUAAAACUCAAAGGAAUUGACGGGGACCCGCACAAGCGGUGGAGCGUGUUGUUUAAUUCGAUGGUAAGCGAAGAACCUUACCAAGGCUUGAAAUCUCUGGAAGUCUGCUGAAAGGCGGAUGUGCCUUCGGGAACCAGAUGACAGGUGC